AGUGAACGCUGGCGGUAGGCCUAACACAUGCAAGUCGAACGGCAGCACAGUAAUAGCUUGCUCUUACGGGUGGCGAGUGGCGGACGGGUGAGGAAUACAUCGUAAUCUACUUUUUCGUGGGGGAUAACGUAGGGAAACUUACGCUAAUACCGCAUACGACCUACGGGUGAAAGCAGGGGAUCUUCGGACCUUGCGCGAUUGAAUGAGCCGAUGUCGGAUUAGCUAGUUGGCGGGGUAAAGGCCCACCAAGGCGACGAUCCGUAGCUGGUCUGAGAGGAUGAUCAGCCACACUGGAACUGAGACACGGUCCAGACUCCUACGGGAGGCAGCAGUGGGGAAUAUUGGACAAUGGGCGCAAGCCUGAUCCAGCCAUACCGCGUGGGUGAAGAAGGCCUUCGGGUUGUAAAGCCCUUUUGUUGGGAAAGAAAAGCAGCAGGUUAAUACCCCGCUGUUCUGACGGUACCCAAGGAAUAAGCACCGGCUAACUUCGUG
rnacentral:rRNA from 1 species